rnacentral:rRNA from 1 species
GACGUAGGGCGCGAGCGUUGUCCGGAUUUAUUGGGCGUAAAGAGCUCGUAGGCGGCUUGUUGCGUCGACUGUGAAAACCUGCGGCUCAACCGUGUGGUCUGCAGUCGAUACGGGCAGGCUGGAGUUCGGUAGGGGAGACUGGAAUUCCUGGUGUAGCGGUGAAAUGCGCAGAUAUCAGGAGGAACACCGGUGGCGAAGGCGGCGUCCUGGACCAACACUGACACUGAUGAGCGAAAGCCAGGGGAGCAAACGGG